rnacentral:rRNA from 1 species
UACGUAGGGGGCAAGCGUUGUCCGGAUUUAUUGGGCGUAAAGAGCGUGUAGGCGGUCCGGUAAGUCCGUUGUGAAAGUCAAGGGCUCAACCCUUGAAUGCCGGCGGAUACUGUCGGGCUAGAGUCCGGAAGAGGCAAGUGGAAUUCCCGGUGUAGCGGUGAAAUGCGCAGAUAUCGGGAGGAACACCUAUGGCGAAGGCAGCUUGCUGGGACGGAACUGACGCUGAGACGCGAAAGCGUGGGGAGCGAACAGG